rnacentral:rRNA from 1 species
UACGAAGGGGGCUAGCGUUGCUCGGAAUCACUGGGCGUAAAGCGCACGUAGGCGGAUCUUUAAGUCGGGGGUGAAAUCCUGGAGCUCAACUCCAGAACUGCCUUUGAUACUGGGGAUCUCGAGUCCGGGAGAGGUGAGUGGAACUCCGAGUGUAGAGGUGAAAUUCGUAGAUAUUCGGAAGAACACCAGUGGCGAAGGCGGCUCACUGGCCCGGUACUGACGCUGAGGUGCGAAAGCGUGGGGAGCAAACAGG